rnacentral:rRNA from 1 species
GGGUUGUGAGGUUAAGCGACUAAGCGUACACGGUGGAUGCCCUGGCAGUCAGAGGCGAUGAAGGACGUGCUAAUCUGCGAAAAGCGUCGGUAAGGUGAUAUGAACCGUUAUAACCGGCGAUGUCCGAAUGGGGAAACCCAGUGCAAUUCGUUGCACUAUCGUUAACUGAAUACAUAGGUUAACGAGGCGAACCGGGGGAACUGAAACAUCUAAGUACCCCGAGGAAAAGAAAUCAACCGAGAUUCCCCCAGUAGCGGCGAGCGAACGGGGAGCAGCCCAGAGUCUGAAUCAGCUUGUGUGUUAGUGGAACGGUCUGGAAAGUCCGACGGUACAGGGUGAUAGUCCCGUACACCAAAAUGCACAGGCUGUGAACUCGAAGAGUAGGGCGGGACACGUGGUAUCCUGUCUGAAUAUGGGGGGACCAUCCUCCAAGGCUAAAUACUCCUGACUGACCGAUAGUGAACCAGUACCGUGAGGGAAAGGCGAAAAGAACCCCGGCGAGGGGAGUGAAAAAGAACCUGAAACCGUGUACGUACAAGCAGUGGGAGCACCUUCGGGUGUGACUGCGUACCUUUUGUAUAAUGGGUCAGCGACUUAUAUUCUGUAGCAAGGUUAACCGUAUAGGGGAGCCGCAGGGAAACCGAGUCUUAACUGGGCGUUAAGUUGCAGGGUAUAGACCCGAAACCCGGUGAUCUAGCCAUGGGCAGGUUGAAGGUUGGGUAACACUAACUGGAGGACCGAACCGACUAAUGUUGAAAAAUUAGCGGAUGACUUGUGGCUGGGGGUGAAAGGCCAAUCAAACCGGGAGAUAGCUGGUUCUCCCCGAAAGCUAUUUAGGUAGCGCCUCGUGAACUCAUCUUCGGGGUAGAGCACUGUUUCGGCUAGGGGGUCAUCCCGACUUACCAACCCGAUGCAAACUACGAAUACCGAAGAAUGUUAUCACGGGAGACACACGGCGGGUGCUAACGUCCGUCGUGAAGAGGGAAACAACCCAGACCGCCAGCUAAGGUCCCAAAGUCAUGGUUAAGUGGGAAACGAUGUGGGAAGGCACAGACAGCCAGGAUGUUGGCUUAGAAGCAGCCAUCAUUUAAAGAAAGCGUAAUAGCUCACUGGUCGAGUCGGCCUGCGCGGAAGAUGUAACGGGGCUAAACCAUGCACCGAAGCUGCGGCAGCGACACUAUGUGUUGUUGGGUAGGGGAGCGUUCUGUAAGCCUGCGAAGGUGACCUGUGAGGGUUGCUGGAGGUAUCAGAAGUGCGAAUGCUGACAUAAGUAACGAUAAAGCGGGUGAAAAGCCCGCUCGCCGGAAGACCAAGGGUUCCUGUCCAACGUUAAUCGGGGCAGGGUGAGUCGACCCCUAAGGCGAGGCCGAAAGGCGUAGUCGAUGGGAAACAGGUUAAUAUUCCUGUACUUGGUGUUACUGCGAAGGGGGGACGGAGAAGGCUAUGUUAGCCGGGCGACGGUUGUCCCGGUUUAAGCAUGUAGGCUGAUUGUCCAGGCAAAUCCGGAUAAUCAAGGCUGAGGUGUGAUGACGAGGCACUACGGUGCUGAAGUAACAAAUGCCCUGCUUCCAGGAAAAGCCUCUAAGCAUCAGGUAACAUUAAAUCGUACCCCAAACCGACACAGGUGGUCAGGUAGAGAAUACCAAGGCGCUUGAGAGAACUCGGGUGAAGGAACUAGGCAAAAUGGUGCCGUAACUUCGGGAGAAGGCACGCUGGUGUGUAGGUGAAGCCCCUGCGGGUGGAGCUGAGACCAGUCGAAGAUACCAGCUGGCUGCAACUGUUUAUUAAAAACACAGCACUGUGCAAACACGAAAGUGGACGUAUACGGUGUGACGCCUGCCCGGUGCCGGAAGGUUAAUUGAUGGGGUUAUCCGUAAGGAGAAGCUCUUGAUCGAAGCCCCGGUAAACGGCGGCCGUAACUAUAACGGUCCUAAGGUAGCGAAAUUCCUUGUCGGGUAAGUUCCGACCUGCACGAAUGGCGUAAUGAUGGCCAGGCUGUCUCCACCCGAGACUCAGUGAAAUUGAACUCGCUGUGAAGAUGCAGUGUACCCGCGGCAAGACGGAAAGACCCCGUGAACCUUUACUAUAGCUUGACACUGAACAUUGAGCCUUGAUGUGUAGGAUAGGUGGGAGGCUUUGAAGCGUGGACGCCAGUCUGCGUGGAGCCAACCUUGAAAUACCACCCUUUAAUGUUUGAUGUUCUAACGUUGGCCCCUGACCGGGGUUGCGGACAGUGUCUGGUGGGUAGUUUGACUGGGGCGGUCUCCUCCCAAAGCGUAACGGAGGAGCACGAAGGUUAGCUAAUCCUGGUCGGACAUCAGGAGGUUAGUGCAAUGGCAUAAGCUAGCUUGACUGCGAGCGUGACGGCGCGAGCAGGUGCGAAAGCAGGUCAUAGUGAUCCGGUGGUUCUGAAUGGAAGGGCCAUCGCUCAACGGAUAAAAGGUACUCCGGGGAUAACAGGCUGAUACCGCCCAAGAGUUCAUAUCGACGGCGGUGUUUGGCACCUCGAUGUCGGCUCAUCACAUCCUGGGGCUGAAGUAGGUCCCAAGGGUAUGGCUGUUCGCCAUUUAAAGUGGUACGCGAGCUGGGUUUAGAACGUCGUGAGACAGUUCGGUCCCUAUCUGCCGUGGGCGCUGGAGAAUUGAGGGGGGGCUGCUCCUAGUACGAGAGGACCGGAGUGGACGCAUCACUGGUGUUCGGGUUGUCAUGCCAAUGGCACUGCCCGGUAGCUAAAUGCGGAAGAGAUAAGUGCUGAAAGCAUCUAAGCACGAAACUUGCCCCGAGAUGAGUUCUCCCUGAGACUUUAAGUCUCCUGAAGGAACGUUGAAGACGACGACGUUGAUAGGCCGGGUGUGUAAGCGCAGCGAUGCGUUGAGCUAACCGGUACUAAUGAACCGUGAGGCUUAACCUUACAACGCCGAAG